AUUCAAACCACCAACUUUCCCAUUCCCUUUUUAUUAAUUUAUCAGUAAUGAAAAUAAAAUUGAUAAUAAUAAAAUAAAUAUUUAGGGAUGGAGUUAAAGAAAACUCACAGAUAAAGCCUGGUAUAUAAACACUAAACUUAUCAAAUUAUUAAAUUCAAAAUCAUUGAGAAGUGUUUUUUUUUCAGUUCCUUGUGAUUUUGAUAUUUAGCAGGUAAUAAAAUGGGAUACAAAUAUUGGUGGUAAACAUAUGAAUGUUACUUUGUAUUUAUAUGUACCUGUGUCACCUGAUAGUAGAACAAAGGCAAUAUCAUCUUUCUUGGUUUGUUUCCGAGAAGCAGGCCACACCCUGUUCAACACUUCAAUAUCCCUGUCCUGAUACCUCUACACAAAGUACAACAGCGUGACGUCUGUUCGUAAAAAUGCAUUCUUCAUUGACAUACACUUCUAGUGCUCUUGUAUAAUACAUGUUCGAGAUGCAAAAUCAUAAAUACAGGCAUCUAAUGAUGUAUAACUUCUUUAUCUGAGGAGAUUUUAUCAAUAAAUAACUAUCUUGGUGUUUAACAAAC